GACGAACGCUGGCGGCGUGCUUAACACAUGCAAGUCGAACGAUGAAGCCUUCGGGUGGAUUAGUGGCGAACGGGUGAGUAACACGUGGGUGAUCUGCCCUGCACUUUGGGAUAAGCCUGGGAAACUGGGUCUAAUACCGAAUAUGAUCAUGCUCUUCAUGGGGUGUGGUGGAAAGCUUUUGCGGUGUGGGAUGGGCCCGCGGCCUAUCAGCUUGUUGGUGGGGUAAUGGCCUACCAAGGCGACGACGGGUAGCCGGCCUGAGAGGGUGACCGGCCACACAGGGACUGAGAUACGGCCCAGACUCCUACGGGAGGCAGCAGUGGGGAAUAUUGCACAAUGGGCGCAAGCCUGAUGCAGCGACGCCGCGUGAGGGAUGACGGCCCUCGGGUUGUAAACCUCUUUCAGCAGGGACGAAGCGAAAGUGACGGUACCUGCAGAAGAAGGACCGGCCAACUACGUGCCAGCAGCCGCGGUAA
rnacentral:rRNA from 1 species